GCUCACAUAGCUCAUCAUUUAUAGACUCUGUUUACAUGCUAGAAAGCGGUUUAACUUUCCAAGGUCUCUGCAAGUUGAAAAGCCAGCAUUGCCCUUUUCAUAAUGUACUGAUUAUAUAAAGAUGCGUGGAAUUAUAGAGAGGUCACAUGCUAAUCACUCCGGUGACCUGCAGCCAUGGUACUGCGAACAAGACACUGAUAAUACUGAAAUAAUUAUGUCUUAGAUGGUGAAAACAUUUUUUUUAAAUUCGCUGAUGUUUUCAUCAGUUUCUUCCUUAUUCACUUGCAGCCACUUCAUUAGGUACACCCCAAAUAUCUGAUCAGCUAUUCACAUGGUAGCAGCUCAGCACACUUGGUGAUGUGGUUGAGACAACCUGCUGCAGUUCAAACUGGGUAUCGGAACUGGAGAAAAAGGUGAUUUUAGGUGACUUUGAAUGUGGUUGUUGGUGUCAGAAGCUGUGGUCUGAAUAUUUCAGAAACUGCUGAUCUACUGGGAUUUUCCCACAAAACCAUCUCUAGGGUUUAAGAGAAUGGUCCAGAAACAGCAGCCACAAUUCUCUGAAUGAUCCCAGAGGUCAGAGGAGAAUGAAAAAACUGAUUUGAACUGACAGGAAGACAACAUUAACUCAAAAAAAAAUAAAAUAAAAUAAAAAAAAGUUCAUUACAAUGAAGGCAUGUCUGAAAGUACAACACUUCAAACCUUCUCCGGUCAGCUAAGAACAAGAAACUGAGGCCACAAGCGCUCACCAAACUUGGAUGAUAAACUUGGAUUCUCAAAAUCUGCUGCAACAUUCAGAUCGUAAGGUAGAAUUCAGCGUAAACAACAUGAAAGCUUGGAGUCAUAACAGCUCGGGCUGAUGGAGGUGUAAGGGUGUGGCGCACUUUAGGUCUCUUAUUACCAGUUCUUGCUGACCAUGUACUGCCUUUUUGACCAUAUUCUGAUAACUGCUUCCAACAGGAUAAUACGCCAUGUCACAGAGCUAAAAAUACCCCAGAAGUUGUUCCCUGAACACAACAAUGACCUUACUGUACUUAAAUGGUCUCCACAAUCACCAGAUCUAAUUCCAAUAGUGCACUUUUGGGAAUCGCUUCAUGGAAAUCGGCAAAUCUGC
ensembl:lncRNA